GACGAACGCUGGCGGCGUGCCUAACACAUGCAAGUCGAGCGGAGUCGAUCGACGGAAGCCUUCGGGCGGAAGAUGGUUGACUUAGCGGCGGAUGGGUGAGUAACGCGUGGGCAACCUGCCUCGGAGACCGGGAUAACAGCCCGAAAGGGCUGCUAAUACCGGAUGUGGUCAAGGAUCCGCAUGGAUUUUUGAUUAAAGGGGAAACCCGUUUCGAGAUGGGCCCGCGUCCUAUCAGCUAGUUGGUGAGGUAAAAGCUCACCAAGGCGACGACGGGUAGCCGGCCUGAGAGGGUGACCGGCCACACUGGAACUGAGACACGGUCCAGACUCCUACGGGGGGCAGCAGUGGGGAAUCUUCCACAAUGGGCGAAAGCCUGAUGGAGCGACGCCGCGUGAGCGAAGAAGGCCUUCGGGUUGUAAAGCUCUGUCUGGAGGGACGAAGGAAGUGACGGUACCUCCGGAGGAAGCCACGGCUAACUACGUG
rnacentral:rRNA from 1 species